CUAGUACAAAUUUUGUGCAAGAUAUUUAGAAGAAAAAAAAGUGUACAGUUUUUAUUUUGAUCACCCUGUAGAUGCCUCCUUUUCUGUCACUGAUAGUUCUCCACUGGCAAGAAUCUAUAUGUUGCUAAGUUCAAUCUGAAUGAUUAUAUCUAUGCACUUUUUUUUGACAAUGUUUUGUUUUCACACAAACCGUUGACAUUGUAUAUAUGUAUAAUAUACAUUUUGUAGUUGGGAAAAUUGGCUAUGUCAUUUGGGUGGUGACAUUGAGUGUGUGAUAUCUCUUGUUUGCUGAAAUGUUAUAAAGUUUGUUUUCUUGUGUGUUGUCAGCCCCCAUCCAGUUUCUUCUUUUUCUUUUUUUCUUAGGAAUGAAACCUCUAGCUUAAAGUCAUUGGUAUAAAGAGAAUGGAAACUCUGUUGAAAUUUCUUCUUUGAGAAAAAUAGGUUUUCAUAUCAAGGUGUCAACUGCAAACUCUUGAACAAAGGAGCAUUGAGAAUUUUGAUUGUGGCAAUACUGUAGGGUGAAUAGGUGCAGUAUUUACAGACAUAAUGAAAUAUUAUUCCUGUAGUACAGAAUGUAUCCAUUAAAGCUCAAAGAAAGACUGUAAUACAAAAUAUUUCCCCUAGAAUUUGAAGAGUGGUUGUAUGAAAUACUUCCUGUAAAAUUUGAAGACCGUGCGGAAAUUUGUAAUGUUUUUGUAAUGUAUUUUAAUGCAACUUGUCCCUCUAGUUUUUUGCCUGUUAGAAUGCAUGUUUUUCCUCUCUCAUACAUUUUGAGACUUAUUAAGAAAAGUAUGCUUCUUCUGUGACUUUGAUAUAGAGGAUUAUACAAAUAUAACAAAAGAUUCCUGCGGAGUUUAAAAGUACUGUACUACAAAAUAUUUCCUGUAGUGUUUAAAAGUAGUGUUAUACAACAUAAAAUAUUUCUUGUAGAAUGUAAAGAUUUGUAGUAAUAGGUGUUUCCUGUUUGAUUUGAAGUAUUCUUUUACAAAUAUUUCCAUUAGUUUUUUUUACACCUGAGAAGAAAAUGUUUUCUCCCUUUUUUGUAUAUUUAGAGACUUAUUGAGUAGUCUUCUGCUUGCAUGAGAUCGCUGCGUAGAAUGAAAUACAAAAUAUUUUCUGUAGAGUUGGAGGAAGUAUGAUACCUACUUGUGUGUUCACUGCUGAUGCGCUUCAGGUGCUUGCUAUAAUAAUAUUAUCUGCAUUUAUAACUAGAGAACAGCGAGGUGUAAAAAAAAAAUGAUCGCAUGUUUGUGUUUUCCACCUACAUGAGUUAAAUAUAUAAAUAUAUGUGUGAGUAGUCUUUCACAUAGAUAACGACUUGUUAAAGAAAUGGUGCUUAUAGUUGUAAGAACUGUUGUUGGUUUUUGAAAUGUGGUGGCUAGCUUUAAAAGUGUAUGGGAGAAUAUGGAGCAAUGAUAAGAACUGAAUAGGAUGAAAUAUAGAAACUUUGAAUUUUUUAAUCACUUUUAGCUAAAUUUACUGUGCCCAUGAUACUACGACGUGGAAUUGAUGAUUUCACUCGUCAGACAUAUUAGAUUUUGUAGAGUUUGUUGUAUAAAUGUUAUUUUCUAAGAAGGAAAAAUUUUCCAAUCAGCCAAACAAUUUGGUUUAGAAGGGUACAUUUUUUGCCAUAAGACUACUACUUAGAAUACAUAGGCCCCUUUUUAUGUAUUUGCACCCCGUCAAAUAUAUAGAUUGGUAAUAUGGGGUGCCCAUUGGCCCCAUCAGGUUGGGCCGGGUCGGUUCGGUUUGCUAUCCAGAUUGAGGGCACAAAGCGGCUAUCGUGGCACAAAUUGAUGGCUCAACUCGUCGCCUCUAAAACAAACACGUUUGUUUUCAGGCGACGAGUUGGGUGAUGGACCCAACCAGACCCGACCCAUUCCCAUUUGCAAUGGGCACCCGGUAUAAGGUACAUUGUGCCCAUGUGGCUCCUAAGUAGAAAAUGUAUUCUCACUCUUUCAGACAUAUUGAUUUAAUAAGGCACAUUGUAUCUAUAGAGAUGUAUAUAUAUAUAAAGAUCCUGAGGAGAAUAUUUAUUUUCCCUCAGUCAUAUGAGUUGAGUCACAUUUCAUAUAAUAUCCUCUAUCCUUGAGAAUUGGAAAAGUCCACGCGAUAUUUUAUAAGUAGGAUCCAGAUCAGGGUUUAAAGUGUUUUUAGUAAUACGAAAAUAUAGAUAAUGUGUACACAUAUCUUUUGUCAUGUUGUAAGUUGCAACUUAAUUUAAGGAUUUUUCUUAAUAGAUUUUAUAUUUUAAAAAAUAGAACUUCUACUUGAUGUUCUGUAAUUUUAUAUGACAGUAGUUGUCGAUGCUGUGCUGGGAUGGGAAAUUUGGGAACUAGGCGCUGUUUUUUUUAUUGUCUUCAGGAUUUCCUUGAAGGUAAAGUUUUCUUUGAUUAGGUUGUUAUACAACAUUUGACAUGUGUUCACCCAAAUUUUUGUCCUUUUGAAAAUGAAAGAUGUUCAUUUUGUUUCUGUCACAUUAGUGAAAGUCUGAUGCUUAUAAGUGUUUGUCUUCAAUAUGGGUUGAAAAGACUUUUU